rnacentral:rRNA from 1 species
UUGUCUUUUAAAUGAAGACCUGUAUGAAUGGCAUAACGAGGGCUUAACUGUCUCCUUUUUCCAGUCAAUGAAAUUGAUCUUCCCGUGCAGAAGCGGGAAUACCUACAUAAGACGAGAAGACCCUAUGGAGCUUUAGACACUAGAAUAGACCAUGUUAAACACCCCUAACAAAAGGACAAAACUAAUUGAUAUCUUUUCCAAUGUCUUCGGUUGGGGCGACCGCGGGGAAAUAAAAAACCCCCAUGUGGACCGGGAGCACAUCACUCCUACAACCCACAGUUACACCUCANAGUAACAGAACUUCUGACCAGCAAGAUCCGGCUACUAGCCGAUCAACGGACCGAGUUACCCUAGGGAUAACAGCGCAAUCCUCUUUUAGAGCCCAUAUCGACAAGAGGGUUUACGACCUCGAUGUUGGAUCAGGACAUCCUAAU